rnacentral:rRNA from 1 species
UACAGAGGUCCCGAGCGUUGUUCGGAUUCACUGGGCGUAAAGGGUGCGUAGGUGGCGAGGUAAGUCGGAUGUGAAAGCUCGGAGCUCAACUCCGAAAUGGCAUUGGAAACUACCUUGCUCGAGGGUUGGAGGGGGGACUGGAAUGCUUGGUGUAGCAGUGAAAUGCGUAGAUAUCAAGCGGAACACCAAUGGCGAAGGCGAGUCCCUGGACAACUCCUGACACUGAGGCACGAAAGCUAGGGGAGCAAACAGG